AGAGACCGAGUCUACAGAGAUUUACGGUUAUGGAAUAAUUCAUCUAUACUAUACGUUUACAGAUAAGAACCUAAACGGAUCUUAGAGACAUUUCUAUCAGAAUCCACGGUUAUCAUGAACACUAUUGUGUAAAAUCAGAUCUACUCUCAAUACAUCAUAAUAUCGGUAAUUUACCCUAUGUAUGUUGUAAUAUUGUUACUUGAAAGAUAUAUACCCCUGAGGAAGUCCAACUAAAGGGACGAAACGCGUUUGUUUAUCUAAACGACCUGGAAAUAUACAGAGGUCCUCCACUUGUGGGCUCACACCCAUAAGGUUGAAGUGUAUGAACAACUAGCCUCUGAAAUGUAAAACAGGUCUGAAUGAUAUUAUUCAUU